UCCCUCCCUCUCUUCCUUUUUUUUUUUUUUAACAGCUCCAGCCAGAUAGUCUGUCUUCACAUGGGGCUCCCUGGCUCUUGCUUGCCACACCCGGCAAGGCCAUCCACGGCUGGGAACAUACCCCUUCCUGUGUACAGGCCAACGUGGUCCUUGAACCACUGCUGCAGAGCUGGUUUUGUGGAACCCAUCACAAGAUCAGAGGGUCCGGGGGAUGUUGGGAGAAGCAGUCUAGGAAGCAGGAUCUUUAAGAAUAGCUCCUGUGUUUGAGCUCACCCGGUGUAAUUCUGUCUCUGCUGCUCUUCAGGAAGCCUCCCUAGGGAAACACUGAUCCCCACACCCCUCUCACCUUUGCCCGGGGUUCUGGGUCUAUUAGUUUCACCUUGGGUUUUCCUGGGUUGCUGUCACCCUUGGACAGGGAGUGGGAUUCCUGAGGGAUGGACACCUGGUCCUCUCUUUCCCUUGCCAUCCAAAA
rnacentral:lncRNA from 1 species